CUUCCUCUGGCUCUCUUCUCCUGCCCCAAACAUCUCACGCCGCCGCCGCCGCCGCCGCCGAGGCUUAGGGUUUGUGGCCGGAGAUCCCUCGGAUUCGAUUCCAUUCGAGUCGAGUCGAAUCGAAGAGAAGAGAAUCGAUAGAGAUGGACGCGCAGCGUGCCCUGCUUGACGCGCUGAUGGGUUCGUCGCGGGACCUGACGGAGGAGGAGAAGAAGGAGCACCGGGAGGUGGCGUGGGACGACCCCGACGUGUGCGCCCCCUACAUGGCCCGCUUCUGCCCCCACGACCUCUUCAUCAACACCAAGAGCAACCUCGGAGUAUGCCCAAAGAUCCACGACCCGGCGCUCAAGCAAAGCUUCGAGUCCUCCCCCCGCUACGCCGCCGCCCUCCCCAAAUUCGAGGCCGACCUCGCCCACCGCUGCGAGAGGCUGGUCCAGGACCUUGAUAAGAAGAUCAGGCGCGGCCGCGACAGGCUGGCCCAGGACGUCGUGGAGGUGCCGCCCCCCGCCGCCCACGCCGAAAAGGUCGAGCAGCUCGCCAUUCUCGAAGAGAAGAUCAAGAAGCUGCUCGAGCAGAUUGAGCAGCUCGGCGACACCGGCAAGAUCGACGAGGCCACCGCGCUCAUGAGGAAGGUGGACAUUCUCAACCUCGAGAAGUCGGCUCUGACCCACCAGAUUGAGACCAAGCUCUCCAUGGUCCCGCAAGAGAAGAAGAUGGAGCUCUGCGAGCAGUGCGGCUCCUUUCUCGUCACCAACGACGUCCUUGAGAGGACGCAGUCCCAUGUCACCGGCAAACAGCACAUUGGUUAUGGUCUGGUCAGGGAAUUUCUCGCCGAAUACAAGGCUGCGAAAGAAGCGGAGAAGCUUGCAAGGGAGAAGGAAGCAGAGGAGCGUCUGAACCGGGAGAGAGGCCACCAUAACAGAGGCCACCGUGACGACUAUAGGGAGAGAUCUAGGGAGCAUGACCGUGACCGCUACUAUGAGCGAAGCCGUGAAAGAGAGAGGCCCUAUGAGCACGGAGGUAGAGGGUCAGACUAUAGAGGCGGUUCCUAUAACAGCCGCAGGGAUUCUGAAAGGGCGAGGCCCAGAGAUAGGAACGGUGGUGAUUUUUCAAGAAGAGGAGACCCGGGGAGGGUGAGGAGCAGGUCCCGGUCUCCGGGGAGGCAUGGUUAUUAAUCAUUUCAAGUUAUGAGACUCGUGAGGUAGACCAUUAUGCUCCUUUGCUUAUUCAUUCAGUCGCAAUGUCUGAGUGCUGUCAUGAUUAAAUUUAAACCUUACUCUGCUCUAGCAGCUUUUUGUUGAAACCAUACCUAUGGUCUUCCUUUUAUUAUAGAGAGGAUAAAAAACAGAGGAAGGUACCAUCUGUUCUUGGCAGUAUUUCUGUGUUUAUUACAUCUUACGUGCACUCUGAGAUUGUGUUUCCCAGUCUAGGAACUGAAAAAAUGUUGUUUGAUAUGAUUGAGCUGAAAGCCGUAUGAUGAUACUAUCAUCCUAUCCUAGGCAGGUAUUCCGUAACCUCUGUCUGUCUUACAUGUUAAAAUGAUUGAUUGAUUGAUUGAUGACAUACAAGGUUUGGUUAGGACCUGGAAGAAACACUAGACAGGUAACUUGUAACCUCUGUCUUAUAUACAUGUUAAAAUGAUUGAUGAUAUAUACAAGGUUGGGUUGGGUCGGACCUGGAAGAAACACUAGACAGGUAACUCGUAAUCUCCGUCUUAUACAUGUUAAAAAUGAUUGAUGAUAUAUAUAAGGUUGGGUCGGACCGGACCGGACCUGGAAGAAACAGUAGGAAGGUAACCCGUGAUCUCCGUCUUAUACAUGUUAAAAUGAUUGAUGAUAUAUACAAGGUUGGGUUGGACCGGACCUGGAAGAAACAGUAGGAAGGUAAUCCGUCACCUCUGUCUUACAUGUUAAAAUGGUUGAUGAUACGACCUGGAAGAACAGUAGGAAGGUCUUGCAUGCCAAAUUGAUGACGUAUAGAAGGUUGGGAAAAUUCAGGUAACAUUAUAGUAGAGCGGUUUCUGAAUGCCUAGUCUUGUACUCCCUCCGUUCUAAAUUACUCGUCACAGAAAUGGAUGUAUUUAGAACUAAAAUACAUCUAGAUACAUCCAUACCUGUGACAAGUAAUUCGGAACGGAGGGAGUACAAGAUUUAAUUUGCACUGCCAGUAGAGAUUUUGUGUGUACUGCGCCAGCAUUUCUUGUCGACAGAUUUUAAGAAACGACAUUGACUAGUAUCUGCAGUAGGUGUAUCGUACAAUCGUUAAACACGAGGAUGGCCGACAUUGGGAUUUCUUUCAGUAUAGGAACUUAAGAAUUGUUGUGCGAUAGAGCUGAAAGUCUUGAGAUGAUGAUAGCACUAUCAUAUCGUCCUAGGUAACCCGUAACCUCUGUCUGUCUUGCAUGUUUAAUAAUUGAAAUUGACAACAUACAUGGCUGGUAAGGAGGGGACCUGGAAGAAUUAGGCGCAGGUGAUAUUUUGGCAGAAGAACAAGAGGAUUGGAUCGUCAACUUGGGACUUGUUGGUACAUCAACCUGAUGAAUUCAAGUGUUGUCGACCGGUGCAUGCGACAGAGAUCAAUGCUAGAUUUCAAUUACAGAAUCACCCUUUUGGGCAUCGAGAAUUCUCAUGGUUCAGAGUUGAAUUUGAGCAUGUAAAAUCACCCAGUUGUUUGAGCUUUGAGAAACGUUUUGGAGUAUGUUGAAGUUGUAUUUUUCUCGCAAACGCACCAAGUGACGUGCGAUGUGAUUAUAUAGAAACAUUUUCUGGCGA